UUUGGGCAAGAAUGAUGAAUCAAUUAGAUGUGUGAAGGAAAGUAUUCCUUUUGAACUCAAACUUUUGAGGCAUAAAUACUUUGUCUGACUUGCCAUUA